UGAACAACAACAAAGAAUCAAAACUUAAGUGUCAUGUGUGUCUGUGUGAAGAGACCACCAAACAGGCUUUGUGUGAGCAAUAAAGCUGUUUAUUUCACCUGAGGGCAGAUGGGCUGAGUCUGAAAAGACAGUCAGCAAGGGAGAUAGGGGUGGGGCUGUUUUAUAGGAUUUGAGUGUGUAGUGGAAAAUGACAAAGGGAGUUUUUCUCUUGUGGGCAGGGGCGGGGGUCACAGGGUGCUCAGUGAGGGAGCUUCUGAGCCAGGAGAAGGAAUUUCACAAGGUUAAUCGCUCAGUCAAGGCCAUCUGGAUGUAUACCUGCAGGCUUGGGCUCAGAGGCCUGACAUUCCUGUGUCUUCUUCUGCUGUGAGAGUUAUCAAAAGCAUCUGUGAUGGUCCAGGAGGCUUCUGAGGCAAUGGGGCAGCAUCAGUCUUCAGCUGCUAAGCCAAGAAGAUCUGGGAAGGAGUUGGUCAGAGAGCCUUGGGCCAGAGUUCCAGGGACUCUGGGAGUGGCUUCCAGGUCUCAGACCUGCCUUGAAUAUCUUCUGUAAAGACGUACCUCUGUUCUCUGUUCUCUUCUCCAUUACGGCAACAUGUGAGCAUCCUUCAAAAUGAUUUGUAUUAUAUAGUUACACACAGACAUGUUUUUACACAGGACUUUAAAUGCAUCAGGGCAGCAACAAUAUAGUUUUGUAUACAUAUAUACACAAAAUCAUAGCAUAACAAUACAUAUCUGUUGAGAAAUUAUUUAAUGAACUAAUGAAAAGCUAUGUAUAUCUUAAUAUUUUGUAUGCAUCACAAAAUACAAAACACUGCCCUCCAGAAAGGUUGUAAAAUUUUGUAUUCCUAGAACCAGUUUAUGAGAGUCCUUGUUUUCUUCUUGUUCCUUAACAAUAAAUUUUAUGGCUUAAAAAAAGUUGUUCAUAUAAACAAAAAUAGAAUUCAUUACUGUUUUAAUUUGUGUUCUAUUGAAUUUCAGUCGGGUUAAGUAUGAUUUCAUGUAUGUGGAAAAUUUGUGCUUUUUCUAUUGUAAAUUAUCUGUUCAUUGUUUAUUUAAAAAUAUAUUCAAACUGUAAUUUAGGUAAAAUAUAUAUUAUGUCUAUAAAUAAAAUUAUAUGAUGUCAUAAGAAAGGACGAUGCAGAUUAUUCAAUGACAUGAAACAUCCAUGAUGUAUCAAAAUAAGACUUUGUUAUUAUGCAGGAAGGAAGAGAAAAAAGCAACCUAUCACCAAUGCAGCCCUUCUAUACAAAUGCUUUUCUGAAAUUUUUAAAAUAUUUGAAUGCAUGUGAUAGAUUUUUUUAAAUUUCAAUAGUAUACGGUGGACAACAUUAAGUAGUACUAAAUAAUUAAAUGAUUUUCUGUAUUGUGGAAAACAAAAUGAAACAAAACAAAAUAAUUAUGUUAUAAAGCAAUGAUACAAGUAAAUGAUAACGAUUAGUUUGCUUAAAGAAAUUAUAUGAAAACUACUUAGAAUUUUGGAGGCACUGGUUUCUUUUCUUCGACUUUUAAAAUGAGCAGCUUUCUUCAGUGAUUCUCCUGGUUUCUUCCUCCGGUUACUUGCUAAACAUCUUCCUGGAAUUUUAAUUCACUCACUUUUCCAAAAUUUGUCACUCUUUCGCAUUGUUAAUUUCAAAAUUUGUUAAACCCUUCAUACGUUGAGACUAAAAACGGCCAUUUAGUAGAUUCUGUCUUAAAGUUUUAUAUUACUUUGAAACACGCUAUCUUGUUUACAAAGCCACCAUCAAUAUGUCGUCUACAGCAGGAGAUUUCACAGUGUGAUCUGUGGACCCCUGGAGUUCCUGGAGUUGCUUUCAUUAUAAUGGCCCCAAGUUUAUAAUUUAUUUAUAUGCAUACUAAGACUUUUUUUCACUUUUUAUUUAAUUAUGUAUUUGUAUUGUGUAGCAAUUUACAUGAUGGAGCAAAAGCAAUGCUGUGUAAAACUACUGACAUCUUAGCAUAAAUCACGGUGUAGGCCUAAAAUUGUACUGGUAGUCAUUGUGUUCUCUAUCACCUCACGUGAGCUCACAAAAAUAAAAUACCAGUUUUAUUUAAUAA